UACGUAGGGUGCAAGCGUUAAUCGGAAUUACUGGGCGUAAAGCGUGCGCAGGCGGUUGUGCAAGACAGAUGUGAAAUCCCCGGGCUUAACCUGGGAAUUGCAUUUGUCACUGCACGGCUAGAGUGUGUCAGAGGGGGGUAGAAUUCCACGUGUAGCAGUGAAAUGCGUAGAUAUGUGGAGGAAUACCGAUGGCGAAGGCAGCCCCCUGGGAUAACACUGACGCUCAUGCACGAAAGCGUGGGGAGCAAACAGG
rnacentral:rRNA from 1 species